UCAGCCACACUGGAACUGAGACACGGUCCAGACUCCUACGGGAGGCAGCAGUGGGGAAUAUUGCACAAUGGGCGCAAGCCUGAUGCAGCCAUGCCGCGUGUAUGAAGAAGGCCUUCGGGUUGUAAAGCACUUUCAGUCGUGAGGAAGGUAGUGUAGUUAAUAGCUGCAUUAUUUGACGUUAGCGACAGAAGAAGCACCGGCUAACUCCGUGCCAGCAGCCGCGGUAAUACGGAGGGUGCGAGCGUUAAUCGGAAU
rnacentral:rRNA from 1 species